rnacentral:lncRNA from 1 species
AAAAAUGUAUGACUGUGGAUAAGAUCAGUUACUCCCUCUUCUAGCUCCUAUGGCAUUCUGUGCACUAGGGGUGUGUGUGUGUGGUGGCGGGUGUUGUAUGCAGGAAAAGGGAUGGGGACAGGAAUUACACCACUUGUCUCCCAGCCCCAAUGCCUGCUUGAGCGGAACCUGGGCUUCCUAGGGUGCCACACAGACAUCUUGGGGCAGGAGGCAAAUCCCAGCACUGUUCUCUUGGGCCAAUCCCCCUUCCUCCUAGAGCGCCAGGAGUAAGGCAGUACCUCUCCAGGUCACAGCAUCAUCUUGAGGUGUGGGCCACGGUCAGACAAAGUGGGAGGAAGAGGCAUAGAUUACAGGCUGAUGGACCUGGUCUGUAGCAGCUGGGGGAUGACAGCUGCUCUAAGCUCCUGGGGUUGGUUAGAAGCCAAAAGCUGAGGUAUCAGAAACCUUUCAGUCUGGAGCAGGAUGCAUAGGGUGAAUAUGCUGGAGCCCUGAUUUUCAAUAAGGGACACUGUGGAGAUGUGGGGGAUGUUUUUGGUCAUCACAAUAACAGGGGCCCACUCCUUAGAUGUGGACAUCAAAAAAGCAUAAGACAGUGCAAAGAUUUGUCACAUUUUACAUGGUUUCCAGUUUCUUAUCCAACAAUCAGGUAGAGGUGAAAAAUGUUUAUAAUCAUUGGAGCCUGGAACCUAACUCUAUUUUGACAAAGUAUUUUCUAUACAUACACAGUAAUUCCUAGGAAUGCAAGUAAACUGAGGAAGAGCGUACUUUGUCUUCUUAGGAAACUUAACAAAAAUCAUCUCUCCAGUACCCCUGCUGCAGGAGGCACAGUGGCCCGUUCAACACCUCACCUGUCACUGUGUGUGUAGAGCUGUCCCAUUCGCAGCAAUUCUCUCACAGAUACAAGCAUCUAAUCCCGUUGUCACCACUUUUAGGGCAGUCGCGCCCAGGCCUUUACUUACUGAAAUACAUGUGAGUUUAUUGUAUGUUGUUCUUCUUUUAUUCCUUCUUUACAUUUCAGCUAAUCCUUUAUUUUCCUUUUUAAAUUUUAUCUUCUCUCUCUUUUCAGGAUAGUAAAAUUCACAAAAAGGGAUCAGGAGUGAUCAGGUUGAGGUCAAGGUGCUAGAGAAGGCCAUGAGGUCCCUGAUGUAUUACAUGUGACCUUGCUUCUGCUCUGUGAGUGUGUCCAUGGGUAGCCUGCAGCUACCACAGCAUUAGUGGCCCCUGGGGCAGUGCUAGGGAAGGAAAGCAGCCAGGCAGAUGCUGGAAUGGGUGCUCUGGACCAGCAGGAAAGGGAAGGGCCCCCUUCCAGGUAGCAGACCACCACAGUGCACACCAUGUGUGCCCGACUAGGAAAUGGUGGGAACCCCUAUGCCAAGGAGCGGUGCACUUUGGGCACAGGAGGUGGAUUGCCCAGAUGAGGCAAGUCAACCAGUCGCAUGGUCAUGGAUACUGGUGCAAGGAAGACAUCAAGAUUCAGUUGAAGGAUAGGGACAGAAGGAGUCUGUCAAGGUGUCAGGUGCCUCUGAGAAGGGUUUUCCAGAUACAGGAUGUGAUUUGAGAGCCAGGCUGGUGAUAAAGGGGCAGGGGAGUGAUGGACUGUUGGAUGGAGAAAGCAUUUAAAGGCACAAAGGUUUUAACUAGGAGUAUUUUCCCUAGCCUCUUCAUGUGCCUUUUUUUCCCCUUUAGAUCAACAGCUUCUUCAUCUUUAAAACAAAGGUCUGGUCAACAUGAUUUCAAGAUGUCAGGCUCCAAAGUCCUGAGACCUGAAGAUGUUGUAACUUGCUCAAAAUGACAAAACUAAUUCUUUUCUUUUCUUUUCUGAGGAAGACUGGCCCUGAGCUAACAUCCGUGCCCAUCUUCCUCUAGUUUAUACAUGGGACACCUGCCGCAGCAUGGCCAAAGGUACAUGGCCAACAGGCAGUGGAGCCAGGGCUCACACCUACCAUGCUGUGCUUCAGUUCUGAGAACUCCUUUCCUGGACCAGAUGGUGAAGGAGUAUCUACCUGCAUUGCCUCUGGCAUGCCAUCCCUGUAGUGUCACUCUGGUAGCAGUCUGAGGAAUCUUAUCCUCAUGUGGGGAGACAAGACCCUAUAGGACUCCCAUUCUCCACCUGGCAAUGAACCAGGGCCCCUAGAGCACAGCCUCUGCGCAGCAGGGCCAGCCCUGCCCUCUGCAUGGAAUGCCUGGGUGCAGAACUCCCCCAUUUCCGUGUGCCUUCAAACUGAACCUCUGCAAAGAUGCCAUCUGUGACCACCCUCGGGCAUCAUGUCUAUCGUUCUCCAUCCCAGAAACCCUCUAUUUCAUCACUAUCUGCCACUAGAUUAUGAACAAACUUAAGUGUUUAUGGACUGUCCCCCAACUAGAAGGAAGUCAAAGAGGGCAAGCAUUUUGUCCACGCAUUGCUGUAACUUGAGUUCCUUGAACAGUGAUGGCACUUAAGAGGAAUCCCAUAAACAGCUGUUACUGAAUAAGCAAAAGUUUGGAGGAAAGAGGCUGACUAGUAUCACAAGCAAAACUCAAACCCUCUCCCCCCUUGGACACAGCAUCAUUUAUUUGCCGUCUAUUCUUGGUAUGUUCAAACCACUCCAGUUCAACCAUAAUCAAACACCCAGCAUGGUGUAAGGAGUUUGGGGUCUUCAGAGGUGGAAAAAAAGUGGGCUCUCACAGAUGGGCAGAGAAGUUUGUUUGAGAUAGCAAAUAAAUUCACAAGAAGCUUGACAAGACUUCACAGCACUCCUCUGGUCUGUGCAUUCAUUCUGCUUCUUCUGUACUCCUUGUCUGUGAGUCUCAGAACUUCAAGCACAGUGCACCUACCAGGAAAAUGAAACGGGUCUCGAGCACUAUCUUUUUUUUUUUUUUUUUAAAGAGUGGCACCUGAGCUAACAUCUGUUGCUGAUCUUUUUUUUUUUCCCUUCUUCUUUUCCCCAAAGCGCCCCCAGUACAUAGUUGUAUAUUCUAGUUGUAGGUCCUUCUGGUUGCCUAAAGCACCAUCUUUAACUUCACUUGAUGACGUGGUUUGUGCCAGAUUUUAGACGUACAGGAGGAAGGUGUGAACUCUUAUCCUCCAAGGACUUCUUUUUUUUUUUUAUUGAGUUAAUGAUAGGUUACAAUCUUGUGUGAUUUCAGUUGUACAUUAAUGUUUGUCAGUCAUGUUGUAGGUGCACCACUUCACCCUUUGUGCCCACCCCCCACCCCACCUUUCCCCUGGUAGCCACUAAUCUGUUCUCUUUGUCCACAUUUUUAAAUUCCUCAUAUGAGUGGAGUCAUACAGAGAUUAUCCUUCUCUAACUGGCUCAUUUCACUUAACAUAAUUCCCUCAAGGUCCAUCCAUGUUAUUGCAAAUGGAAUGAUUUUGUUCUGUUUUGCAGCUGAGUAGUAUUCCAUUGUAUAUACGUACCACAACUUCUUUACCAUUCAUCUGUUGAUGGGCACUUAGGUUGCUUCCAUGUCUUGGCUAUCGUAAAUAAUGCUGCAAUGAACACUGGGGUGCAUAGGACUUUUGGAAUUGCUGACUUCAAGUUCUUUGGAUAGAUACCCAGUAGUGGAAUGGCUGGAUCAUACGGUAGUUCUAUUUUUAAUUUUUUGAUCUUAUCCUCCAAGGACUUCUCUACACACACUCACAAAUCUCAGAGUUCAAGGACAGAGCAGUGAAUGGCACAAGGUGUUGCGUGUAUAAAUAUUUUACCCGUUAGAGAGAGAAGGCAGGAAGAGCUGGAGGAGGCAGAAACCAAGAGCCCGUUGAGGUGUCCUGUUCCUCAAUGCUGUCCUGUCCCACAGAGUGCCUUGAGAUGGACUUCUACCACCUCUGGUUCCUGCCGGGGAGUGAAGGAAGGUCCACAGAGCCUCUGCCCAUUGGAAAAGGGAAGAAUUCACACUAGUGAACACAAUCUCCCUUUAAAACUAACUCUACAAAAGUAACUGUAGAGGAUGCACUAUCCUGGGCAAGAAGUCUAGCACAUGUGGGAGGUCUGUAACUUAGAAGGCGGAGCCGGCUAGGAGACUGCUUCCGGUAACUCAGACCAAGUGCGCACAAAGGGUUUAUGUAACUGAGAAAAGUACCUUUAAAUCCCCAUACCUAUUCAAGCGCUCCCUACUUGUCUCUAUUACUUACUUCUCCGAGGCAGGAUUUGGGUCAGGUCUGUGAGUACUUGUUGGUCCAAUACACUAGAAGAGGUUUUGUACUCUCAGGGAAAAGACCCAUGUGCUUAGUGACACCAGCUUAGUAGGAAAUAUUGCCCACCCCUCAUCUUGCUGAUAGGUGACACUUCAAAAGAACAGCUUGCAAAAAACCCUCAAUUACUUUUCACGUAUGUUCUUCCUUUAGAAAACACCCAUCAGACUGGAGGAAACAAAGAUACAGCAAAUAAAUUCAGAUGUUUUAUUCUGUAAAGCACAUAUGCACAUAGUUCAAAUACGGAAAAUUAAUCUGAGAGUGAAUGCCAUAACAGAUCAGCUACUGACCAUCAUGCAGCAAGGUAAGUGAAAUGGAUCCACUGGCCCUCGCAACCCCACAGUGCCUGCAGCAGGGCUGCAGAACCAGGGUACUGAAUCCCUACAAACUGCCCGAGAGGAUGCAACGGAAAUGGCAGGUUCCUAUGACAAGAAAAACUUACAAAUAGAAUCAAAACUGAUUCAAGUCAUAGAGCGAAAGGACAAAAGGAAAAAGGAAAGAGAUCAAUAUGAUCUGAAACAAUCAUUUUAAUAGUAAGUUGCUGACCUUUUAUUGGACCUCCAGUCCAAGAUGCCUGAGGAUGAGCCAAUGGUCCCAGCAGGGUCGCCUCUGAAUGGCAAACGGGCCCUGUUCGUGAUACUCUUCUAAUCCUGAGGUCCCCCAGCAAGAUACAGCGGAGGAUCGGGCCUUGUCUGUAAAUGCCCAGACAGUAAUAGGUCCUCUGGACUUCCAGACACUCAGUGGAGUCUCUUCAGUUAUUAGACCUCUUUUGCCCAGGCCCCAGGGCCUCUCCUCUUCCCCAGCCUUCCUUUAUAUACCUGACUGACUCUGGAUUUCAGUUACAUCUUUGAGAAUUACCUAUUAGGGUGGAUGUUGGAUUUUAAAGUGUGUGUCCUGGCCUCAUGACAAGUCAUACUGUCCAGGCAUUUUUGCCACUUCCUUUCCUCAUGCCUAACAGUGUCCUUCCUCCCUGGUUACAGAUUCCAGCCACUCCCUGUAAUUCAAACAAGGGUAACUAAUAUCAGCAAAAAAGCUGGAUUGAACAAACCAGUGAAACUGACUUUCGCCUUUCUCCUUUUAUGUUACUCUCCCAGUUAUAAAUCUAUCCCUGUAGUUCUGCUUCACUGGGAUUUUAAUAAUUCAGUAGCAACUUAACCUAAAAUCUGUUCUUAAUGAUAUUGAUGUUUCUAAAAGCCAAGCCAAAUGGCUCUUUCUCAAUCUUGUCUUGUAAGAGUCUCAAAGUCUCUAAAGAGAAAACUAAAUUAACAGGUUAGCCAUGCACCAUGUAAGUAACUAAUAAUACAAAAAAACUGGAUAGACAAGUAUGAUUACUGCACUUGAAAUGUAGUAAAAGGAAGAAAGGAAUAUUAACAUACCAAGUUACUCUUGUGAUUAACAAUCAUUGAUAAAAGCCCACAACUGUUUUCCAUUCAAGAAUGCCUGGGAGGGGCCAGCCCAGUGGUGUGGUGGUUAGGUUCACACAAUCCACUUCAGUGGCCUGGGUUUCAUGAGUUCCAAUCCCAGGUGCAGACCUACACACUGCUCAUCAAGCCAUGCUGUGGCAGGGUCCCACAUGCAAAGUGGAGAAAGACUGGCACAGAUAUUAGCACAGGGCCAAUCUUCCUCACCAAAAAAAAAAAAGAAUGCCUGGGAUAAAAUUUCGUUCUAGGCCAAUAUAUUUCAGACUGCAGGACUGAUUCUGAUUUAUAACAGACUAUAGACCUGGAGUUAAGGAAAAGAAGCGCUGCCAGUCAUGCCCAAGAUUUUAAUUGCCCUUCUGCUAUAACAUUGCUUGGGAGAACACAGAAGUCAUUAAUGACAAGUUAUUAAGGCAAAGAGCUAUUAAGACACAGAAAAACAGUAAGAAUACAAGUAACAAGAAAGGACUGGAAAAGAUAACACACGAUUUUUUUAAAUGAAGAUAGAUUAGAAAGAAAAAGGGAUAAAGGAAUUAGAUUAUAGAAAUAUUAAAGGAAAGAAAAACACUUUUGGUUUUCCUGACAAACGGCAAAUGAGAAUUGCUUUCCUUCAAAUUUACAAGCAUCGUUUUCAUAAAGUCACUGACCUACUAGCUGCCAUUUUCCUUCUGAAGAUAAAUUAAUUCCAUAAAAAUAAAUACAAAAAAAAAGAGAAGGAGGAAGAAAGAAAAUCCACUCCCUCUUCAAAGAAAACAGGAAACCCUUUCAUAACUGUUAAACAAAUCAUCAUUCUC